UCCAGGACAGCCAGGGCUACACAGAGAAACCCAAGCCCUGCCUCAAAAAAAACAAAAAAAAAAUUUAUUUUUCAAUUUUAUUUAUUUAUUAUGUGUAUGUUUAUGUAUGUGUGUGUGAGGGCAGGUACACAUGUGCCCAGUCUGUGUGAAGAUCAAAGAACACUUUUCAGGAGUGAUCGAUUUUCUCUUUCCAUCAUGUUUUGAUAUUCCUCUUGUUUCUGUUGCUGUGCUCUGUAGUCCAGGCUAGCUGGACAGUAAGGUUGUCUCUGCCUAGUGUUCUGGGACUGUUUUCUGUCUGAGCCAUCUCUCUCACAUAAUUUUUAUUUUACAGAAAUGCCUACCACUCUGACCUAUAAAAGAUCAUACUUAUCACUGCUUUUCGGUGUUUUGUUGUACUUUUCAUUUGAAGUUUUUUUCUAUGUGAAUAAAUUUUUGCUUCUUGUAUCUUUAUUAUCUAUAUAUUUGCUGUUAAUGAGAUUAGAUCUAGACUGAAAGCUUCAUUAGCUGUUAAGUGAACAAAAAUGAUCCAAGAUGGUUUUUGUGGUUUGUUGGGUUGUUUGUUAAAACCAACAUCCAAUCCAAAGAAUAUACCUGGAAUGUCUUGUAUUUCAUGGCAUUAAUUGAAGAGGUGCUGCAGUUUUUAUUUUAAAUGCAAACAUGUAUUGUUUCUUUCUACCAAAUAUUCAAGUUUUACUUAUAUAUUUUUAUUUCAGCAAAACAAGCUAUUGACCAAGGGAGAUCUCCAGUUAUAAUAGACAACACUAAUACACAAGCCUGGGAAAUGAAACCGUAUGUAGAAAUGGUAAAUAAUUGACAUACAAGUUUUUAUUUAUUCUUAACAGAUUUACAUAGUCUAAAAAUUAGGUUAGUCUUUGAUCUUUAUCAUGGAAACAUUUUACUUUCCCUUGCUUUCUAAAUAGAUUUGUUGGGUUUUUUUUAGUCUCUUACAAAUAGAGAAUGGUGUUUAUGAUGAUUGAAUGUGUUCAUCUCCUUGGUUACUCCUGGACUUGAAGAUAGUAAUUGGAAUUGGUCCAGCUACGUAGCCUUAACAUUUUUCUAAGCCAUAUUUACCAAGAAGCAUUUUUCUUGGUUGAGCAGCCUUCCUGUUGUCAGAUGAAACUUGUAUCUAUUUACCUUCUUUUCCUUAAGAUUGUUUUCCGGGUUUUGUCUUCUCCCCUGUGUAGGCCAUAGGAAAAGGAUACAGAGUAGAGUUUCAUGAACCGGAAACUUGGUGGAAGUUUGAUCCUGAAGAAUUAGAAAAGUAAGAGCCUCAUUUUUAUUGAAUCCUUAUCUUGUUUCUUUGAUUUAUCUUUGCAUGGUUAGUUUCUCUCUGGCUUUGCUUGUCAUCUUUGUUAGUUGGGACCAGGGACUAUUUAUUUUUUUAAGAGGAACAAGUUUUUGAAGAGAUUUGCCUUGUCAAAAUUAUCAAUUAUCUUUUACUAAAUGGGCUUGGUUCUUUUUCUUAAUAUGAACUCUUUUAUAUAAGAUUAUGUGACAUUAGGGCUUUGCAUUCCUCCCUUCACCAUCAUGACCCCUUGUGGGUCCCACCAUCACCUUUGUACCUUGUGUUUUCAUCUUGCUCUGACUUUUCCAUCUUUCCAUACUUCUAUCCCAAGAGCCUUGGCCUCACAGUGUUUGGGAAUUCAGUUUGUUUUUUGUUUUUUUCUUAUAGAGUGGUAGUGUGGUGUAUUUACCUUCUUUUUUUUUUUUACCUAGAGUUGGGGGCAAUAUGUCAUUUCAGACAUCUAAACAUUUCUGCUGCAAAUUAUGACCAGUUGUGUUAAGUAAGAGUUUGUAGGAUCUAGUUUCUGUAAAUAAGUUGCUUUCUGACCAAGAAAACUAAGGGUUUGUGAGUUUUGUUUCUGGGCUGUUUAGAAGAUUUGUUUUUAUGCUUGGCAAGCACACUUCAGCUCUUUGCAGAUUUCAGAGUGAGAGACUUGGGAGAGGCUGUGGACUUGACUUGGAGCCUCGUUCUUGAUUGUGUUGCCAGGGCCUUCCUUUCAUGCCACUGCUUGUCUCCUCACCCUUUACUUUCCCUGCUUUGAUUCCCUUCCUCUUUGGUACCAGUUUUAUUGAGGUAUAAUUUAUAUACUGUACAACUUACCCAUUUAAAGUAAACAAUUCAGUGAUUUUUAGUGUAUCCAUAGAACUGAAGAUGUCCUCUUUCUAAACUGCCCUUUUCUUCACUCUUUAUUCCAUUAGAGUUUGCCCCAUUCUUCUUCAAAACAGUCUUAUUUCCUGCUGGUGCUGCUAGCACACAGCAAACACGCACUCUGCCAUAAACUGCGUCUGAGCCUUCAGGCUGUGUUUCUGUGUGUGUGGCCCAACUAUUUCUCGUCUUUCACUCCUUUUACUCUCUCUGUGAUUUGUGUCCUAUAUACUGAUCUGAUGAUAAUACCUGGCUGUUUGCAUACCAAACUAUAUGUGUCACACUCGAGGUAGAAGAGAGGGAAUUUUAAAGAUAGUUGAAUCAUGGCAGACAAAUGACUUGAGUGAUUAAACCAUCCUAUAGUUAUGGCUUCAUUUAUGUUUGAGAGACUGUUGUAAUUGGGGUUUUUGAUUAGUUCUUUGUUAUGUUUUCUUUCUUUCCUUUUUUUUUUUUUUUUUUUUUUUGGUUUUUUGAGACAGGGUUUCUCUGUGUAGCCCUGGCUGUCCUGGAACUCACUUUGUAGACCAGGCUGGCCUGGAACUCAGCAAUCCACCUGCCUCUGCCCCCUGAGUGCUGGUGUUAAAGGCAUGUGCCACUAUUGCUGGGUUGUUUUUUUUGUUUGUUUGUUUUUGUUUUUUUUAAUGGGUUUUUACUCUUUAGCUCUAGCUGUCUCGGAUAUGCCUACCCCAGCCUCUCAAGCACUAGGAUUAAAGAUGUGAGCCACUAUGCCUAGCAAAAUAGUUUCUUAAUAUAAAUUAGCAGCCACUUCUUCAUUUUAACUGAUAUGUAGGAUAAUUUGAAGUUUUGGAAGAAUUGGAUAGAACCAAAUAGCUGAUUUUGGCUCUUGUAGAUUUAGUCAUAUUUUACCAAUUUUAAAAAAUUUUACGUCAGUUGUUGUGUUUGGGACUGAACCCAGCGUUUCAAGCUUGCCAAGCUGCUGGUGUACCAUUGAUAAAGUCCCCUGCUCCUGUCUCUGCUGUUACUCUUAAAUUUUUGAUUGUAAAACAUCAGAUUAGGACCAGGUGUGGUGGCACACGCCUUUCUUUAAUCUCAGUGAGUUUGAGGCCUGCCUGGUCUACAAAGUUGAGUUCCAGGACAGCCAAGGCUACCCAGAGAAACCCUGUCUCAAAUAACAACAACAAAAUUAUAUUAGUAAAGCCGAUGUGUUUGUGGCCUAUUUCUAGGAAAAAUUAGUAAAGCAAGAACAGUACGUAGAAAGCCUAUGCCUGUGUGUUAUCUUAAAGUCAGAGUCAUACAGUGAGAAAGUAUGAGAGUAAAUUAACUGUCCAAAGGCCCGGGUACUUAGAUGACUUUUCUUGCCCAGAACUCACAUAAAGUUACAGGAAGAGCUAGGCUUGGAGCCCCAUGCCUGUGGUCCUAACACUGGUGAGACUGAAGCUGGAUGGGACAUAUCCUCAGCUGUCACCUCAGUAUGGGAACACAACUAUUCUCUCAGAAAUGCGGCACACUCCAGUAUGGUUGUUGUGGUGGUGGCAGUGGUGUUUUGCGGGAAGACCUGAUAAUCUCUUACUGAUUACAUUUUGUGGAAAGUUUACCUUAUAAUUUUUUGCCUUUUUCCAACUUACAUGAACAUGUGUGAAUAAAAUCAUAUAUUAUGUAUUGUUUGUAUCUAAUUUUUCAAUCAACAUCAUACUGUAUUCCUAAUAAUAAGGUACUGGUAAUAAAAAAUUUUAAAUGAAGUAGGAAAAGCUGGUUAUGGUGGCACACACCUUUAAUUCCAGUGCUUGGCAGACAGAGACAGAUGGAUGCAGAUCUCUGAGUCUACAUAGUGAGUUCCAGGACAACCAGAGCUCCUACCUAAAAAAAAAACAAAAAAAAAAAACAAAAACAAAAACAAAAAAAAACCCAAUAAUAAUAGACCUGCCUCAAAAACCCAACAAUAAUAAACUGAUUAACAAGAUAUAAAAUUAUCAUAAAUAUAAGUAACUAAUCAAUAUUUUUUAUUUUUGAUAAGUAUUAGGAAAUCCAUUUGUUUUUUUUCUGUACUUCUCAAAAUACUAUCUCAUAAUCUUUUUUUCUUUUAAAAGUUUUAGCUGGGCACUUAAAAGUUUUAGCCAGGCAGUGGUGGCACACAGCACUUGGGAGGCAGAUGCAGGCGGAUUUCUGAGUUUGAGGCCAGCCUGGUCUACAAAGUGAGGGCUACACAGAGAAACCCUUUCUUG
rnacentral:lncRNA from 1 species